rnacentral:rRNA from 1 species
UGCCCAGACUCCUACGGGAGGCAGCAGUGAGGAAUAUUGGUCAAUGGACGCAAGUCUGAACCAGCCAUGCCGCGUGCAGGAUGACGGCUCUAUGAGUUGUAAACUGCUUUUGUACGAGGGUAAACCCCGAUACGUGUAUCGGGUUGAAAGUAUCGUACGAAUAAGGAUCGGCUAACUCCGUGCCAGCAGCCGCGGUAAUACGGAGGAUCCGAGCGUUAUCCGGAUUUAUUGGGUUUAAAGGGUGCGUAGGCGGUUUGAUAAGUUAGAGGUGAAAUGUCGGGGCUCAACCCCGAAACUGCCUCUAAUACUGUUGGACUAGAGAAUAGUUGCGGUAGGCGGAAUGUAUGGUGUAGCGGUGAAAUGCAUAGAUAUCACGCAGAACUCCGAUUGCGAAGGCAGCGCACCGGCGCCCUACUGACGCUCAGGCACGAAAGCGUGGGGAUCGAACAGGAUUAGAUACCCGCGUA